GACGAACGCUGGCGGCGUGCUUAACACAUGCAAGUCGAGCGGAGCGGCGAACGGGUGAGUAACGCGUGAGUAACUGCCCCCCUCCCUGGGAUAACAGUUGGAAACGGCUGCUAAUACCGGAUAGUGGGGGAUGACUCGCGUCCUAUCAGCUUGUUGGUGGGGUAGUGGCCUACCAAGGCGACGACGGGUAGCCGGCCGGAGAGGGCGACCGGCCACAUUGGGCUGAGAUACGGCCCAAACUCGUACGGGAGGCAGCAGUGGGGAAAAGUGCACAAUGGGGGAACCCCUGAUGCAGCAGCGCGCGUGAGGGAUGUCGGCCUUCGGGUUGUAACCCGCGAUCAGCCAUGGGGCGGUAGGGGCAGAAGAAGCAACGGGUAACUACGUGCCAGCAGCGACGGUAAUAC
rnacentral:rRNA from 1 species